rnacentral:rRNA from 1 species
AGUGAACGCUGGCGGUAGGCCUAACACAUGCAAGUCGAACGGCAGCACAGUAAUAGCUUGCUCUUACGGGUUGCGAGUGUCGGACGUGUUAUGAAUACAUCGUAAUCUACUUUUUCGUGUGGGUUAACGUAGGGAAACUUACGCUAAUACCUCAUACUACCUACGUUUGUAAUCAUUGGAUCUUCUUACCUUUCGCGUUUUUAUUAGCCUAUUUCGUAUUAGCUAGUUGGCUUGGUAAAGGCCCACCAAGGCGACGAUCCGUAUCUGGUCUGAGAGGAUGAUCAGCAACACUGGAACGGAGACACGGUCAAGACAACUACGGGAGGAAGCAGUGGGGAAUAUUGGAAAAUGGGGGAAAGCAUGAUACAGAAAUACCGAGUGGGUGAAGAAGGACUUAGGGUUGUAAAGCAAUUUUGUUGGGAAAGAAAAGAAGCAGGUUAAAAAAACGAUGUAAUGACGGUACCAAAAGAAUAAGCACCGGCUAACUUCGUG